UUGUUUGGCGGUCGAAAAGUGUCAGAAUUUUUUGGUUGCUUAUUUGAAAACAUGCUGGCAGAGUAAACAUUAACCGUAAAAAAAAAAAAAAAAAAAAAAAAAUGAAAAAACAAUUAACAACAGGGCCGUUAAGAAAGCGUUGCCGCCUGGCUUUGGGGACCCCGGUGCAAUAAUUUCGCUUUGAUAACCCGACUGCGAGUGCAUCGUUAAUGGGUCGUUGGCAAUUAUGAGCCGUUCUGAUAGCGUUCGUUCGAUUUGCAACAAUACAUUCAUUUUCAGGCUAAAUUGUGCAUGCCAGAAAUUUGUUCGGUCAUCGCGGUUCAUUUGGCGCCUGAUUGCGAGCCCCUGAAAUUCAAUUGCGGCGAACACAAGCAUCUUGAUUUAUUCCGACUAUAAUGCAGGUUUAUUUAGGGUUUUGAAACGCAUAACUUGUUCUUGACUUUCUUUUCCAGAGCCUCCAUCUCGACCUAGUAAUUCUAUUUUUAACUGUUUAGGUAACUUUUUCACCUAUUUACGGAAUGUUUAAAAUAUAUUGUAUUUAAAUUUUAAUUAAGACAAUUCAUUAUAAAGGAACUUUGCAUAUGAUACUUUAAUGUUUAGUAUUUUUCUAAAGCAUUGCGAUUGAAGAUUUAGGUUAUUUAAAAAAAAAUAAGUUUAAAGACAAAAUGAAACUUCAAACAUUGUUUUGAUAUCAAUGUAAGUACUCGGUUGCAAAAUUAACAACUUCCACAGACAAAACACAAACUAAUAUAAAGGCAGAUACCUCCAAUCAAUCCGUUCUGAUUUUUAAAUGAGGCGGAAGUCCUUUAAACAAAUUCCACCGAAUGGACAUAGGCUAUCAAUCUUAAAAAACCAUUUUCUAUGUUAAAGGAUUUCUUUAACUUUGUUCAAUUUGUGAUUGCAAAAGCAACAAUUGCAGUUCACAACGUAUUUGUUUGAAUUUGCAGCUUAACUA